rnacentral:lncRNA from 1 species
CAUGAGUGCUUAUGCAACUACUGUGCUAGAAAAAUGGCAGGAGACCACAUACCAAGAAAGAGGUAUUACGCAAAAAGGGGUAGGCUAUAUUAGCUAAUGUCUCUCAGCAGGAUGCCCCACACGGAACCAAUCGUAGGAGAUAAGAAGGUAUCGUUGAUUGUGGUAGCAGUAGCUGGUCAUAGUUACUUUAUAUAAAAAAUGGAUUGAAGCAUCAUGAAAUAAUUAAAUUCUAAUAAUGAAAUAGAAGAAGAACAAAUAAAGAUCGGAUUUGCUAAAUGAAGGUGUAGAAGUGGCUGUAGUCAAACAAUAGUAAGGAGAAUUCGCUUAGUCUUCCGGUUCAGAAGUCUAUUUAGUUUCACAAAAUGCUUAUUAAUGAGAUGAGUUGCUAAACACAGUCAAGUCGUAAGACAAAGAAAAGCGUAGGUAACAAUUCGUCUACCGAAUAGCAAGCAAUUGCAUAAAGCAAGACGUGGGAUAUUUAUAAUGAAUAAGGAAAUCUUCCCGUCUGCAAGACCCAGCUAAAGCCAUCUUCCCUGGGGACUACGAAAACCUUCCAUUUUGUGGUUUUGAUCCUCUUUGCCAUUCUUUCGUUUUUAUGGUUAGCCAUCGGUCGUAGAAAGACUCUUUUUUCGACAGGUGACUCUACCUCUGCUGGGGUCAACCAUCAAGGUGAUACCUACAGGCUUGUAUGUGGAUGUAAAACUAGAAUCUUUGGGGCAUGACUUUUUACAGGUUCUGCAUGGAAACGAUCGGGCUUAAAUAUUGAUGCAAUGUAGCCAGAACAUCUAGUGCAGUGACUUGGUGUUUACUACCUUAAGGCAUGCCUUGACUCCACUCGAUGGGACUUGCUUUCAUAAAGAUUUUUGCUUAUUAACUUUAUUGACUCGCCUUUACUUUAGGGUAUAUCUUGUUUGUAUAAGUAAAAGAGGAUAAGACCACCGUUUGCCACAUUUGCUGAUGAAACAAGAUAAAGAACGGGUUCUCCCUACUUGCAUUGAGCGGGAUGCUGCUUUCUUCUCUGUUUUCGAGAUCAAUUGACUUCCAUUGACCUAGAUGGGAGUUGUCUUCUUCGAUAGCGGGUUCUACAUCCGGCAUCCCUCUUGAUUUCCGGGAGAAUGUAGCCGAUUUACUUAGUAAGCUGGGACCUGUCCAAUUGCUAGUUUGGCUGGAUUNGUAUAUCUUUUUUGUAUAAGUAAAAGAGGAUAAGACCACCGUUUGCCACAUUUGCUGAUGAAACAAGAUAAAGAACGGGUUCUCCCUACUUGCAUUGAGCGGGAUGCUGCUUUCUUAUCUGUUUUCGAGAUCAAUUAACUUCCAUUGACCUAGAUGUGAGUUGUCUUCUUCGAUAGCGGGUUCUACAUCCGACAUCCCUCUUGAUUUCCGGGAGAAUGUAGCCAAUUUACUUAGUAAGCUGGGACCUGUCUAAUUGCUAGUUUCGCUAGAUUUGUUCGUGUCGAAAUGCUAGGGUGACAUAGAAGAAUCCGAAAGGAGAUGCAUUGAAGAAAUGUCAAGGCUAUCCCGCUAGUUGGAUAGGCGACUUCUCAAUCUUGGAAAAGCAUCUUGCAAGGGUUAGAGGUUUUGAAGGAUGAGCUGGUAUGGAAGAUAGAAAGCCACGUUUGUACUCGUGACUUAGUGGAUCGAAACAACCAGUAGAGAUUUCGGAUCUUAUUAUACGUGACCCCAAGCCCCGAUUCUAAUCUUGUUUUCUGGUAACUGCCACUUCGAUCAAGUGUUAAACUACUACUUAUGGCUUCGGUCGAGUAAGGUAUGGGCUAUGGGUCGGUAGGAUAAUGCUAGGUCAAUUCGGUUCACUGUCUCUACUCCUACCUAUCCCACUUAAGGUUAUAUGGAUGAAGCUUGCUUUGGGUCCACCACCUGGAAGAGUAUUGAGAUUUCUUGCUUUGAAGUGGGGUUGUAGUUAAUCGAUUAGCUAGUAGGCUAAGGUCUAAGCACUAAGGGAACAAGGGGCUAGCCUCAAAACCCUAACACUAAGCUAAGUGAACGACCAGCAGCUAAUCGACUAAGUGGAUUAGGAUUGUUAGUGAGUGAAGCUUUGGGAAAGCUUACGAAUAGGUAUCCUUUGAUUCCCUUUACAGUAGGAAGGAAUAAGCAUAGUGGGACGGGAGGAGUUAAUACCGGUUAGCCCCUCGCUUUAUGGCUUAGAAGAGUAGCUGGCAUUGGCUCUUUUUAGGGACAGUCGAUCAAGGAGAUGACAAAAGAUGGCAUCAAAUCAACGGCAUAAAGGCUUGGAUGAAUUUAUUUAGGCCAUGGCACUUUUUUCAAUGGCAAAGACAACUUUCGUCGUUUUUUGACUAAAGACAUUCAAUUUCGAUCAUUACUCUAGAUUCCGUAAUCCGACGUGAACUUGCACAACUGAGCUGCGCUGCCUUUGCCUAGCUGGGUGAAGGAUGUAAAGGAAGAGGGCCGACAAGUUACUUAUUUUUGAUUCCCAGAUGCAUUGAAAUAACAAAUAAGCAUAAGCAGUAAGUAGCGAGGAUCACAGAGAGAAGGUGAUUCACGGUGAAGUAUUAAUGGGAGACCAACUACGGGUACUAGUAAUAGACUUUCUUACAGGUCUUAUAUCCAAAGCUCGAGUCAAAGUGGGAGGAAUUGCUUUCUAGUUCGAAGAGAGCCAGAUAUUUGUUAUAUCCAUGUUUAUCUUACUAUACCACUUGAUAUUAGAUAUUCAAAGAUGGUCACUAUGUUCUUUUAGCUAUUCACUCACUGCACAUUAAUAGAAUCUAAACACUUUCAAAGUGUGGUGGAUUUAUAAAGGUAGGUUGGCUGUGCUUGGGUCUCCUUCUCUUGUGCGCGUCUUAACUAUUAUUGAAAGGACAGGAUCAGUACGACCUCUGGCUCAAGGCCUUUAGGCUGAGCCCAUUCAUUCCAUUCGAUCGAUCUGACCUAUUAAUCGAUAAUAGCAGAGGAGGAUUUUUUUGAAUUAAAUAAAGAAAGACUUUCCCUAAGUCGCCUAUAGUAAGGAGUUCUGAAUCCCCUAGGCAAAAGCUUUGCCCAAGCUCAUCGCAGAAGCCAUGACCCAAUUUAUAUUAUAGGGUAGGCCGAAGCCUAUCAGGCCCCAUGUCCAUGGUGCAGCGGCCGCAAUGGUUGCUUUGAG